rnacentral:rRNA from 1 species
AUCUGGUAAGGCUAAAUACUCCCUAGCGACCGAUAGUGAAGCAGUACCGUGAGGGAAAGGUGAAAAGCACCCCGGGAGGGGAGUGAAAUAGAACCUGAAACCGUGUGCUUACAAGAAGUCAGAGCCCUAUGAUGAAACUUCGUUUCAUCACGGGUGAUGGCGUGCCUUUUGUAGAAUGAACCGGCGAGUUACGUUCCCAUGCAAGGUUAAGGCGAGAAGCCGUAGCCGCAGCGAAAGCGAGUCUGAAUAGGGCGAGUGAGUAUGUGGGCGUAGACCCG